rnacentral:rRNA from 1 species
UACGUAGGGUCCGAGCGUUGUCCGGAAUUAUUGGGCGUAAAGGGCUCGUAGGCGGUUUGUCGCGUCGGGAGUGAAAACUCAGGGCUCAACCCUGAGCGUGCUUCCGAUACGGGCAGACUAGAGGUAUGCAGGGGAGAACGGAAUUCCUGGUGUAGCGGUGGAAUGCGCAGAUAUCAGGAGGAACACCGGUGGCGAAGGCGGUUCUCUGGGCCGAUACUGACGCUGAGGAGCGAAAGCAUGGGUAGCGAACAGG